AGGGUUUGAUCAUGGCUCAGAUUGAACGCUGGCGGCAGGCCUAACACAUGCAAGUCGAGCGGAUGAAGAGAGCUUGCUCUCUGAUUCAGCGGCGGACGGGUGAGUAAUGCCUAGGAAUCUGCCUGGUAGUGGGGGACAACGUCUCGAAAGGGACGCUAAUACCGCAUACGUCCUACGGGAGAAAGCAGGGGACCUUCGGGCCUUGCGCUAUCAGAUGAGCCUAGGUCGGAUUAGCUAGUUGGUGAGGUAAUGGCUCACCAAGGCGACGAUCCGUAACUGGUCUGAGAGGAUGAUCAGUCACACUGGAACUGAGACACGGUCCAGACUCCUACGGGAGGCAGCAGUGGGGAAUAUUGGACAAUGGGCGAAAGCCUGAUCCAGCCAUGCCGCGUGUGUGAAGAAGGUCUUCGGAUUGUAAAGCACUUUAAGUUGGGAGGAAGGGCAUUAACCUAAUACGUUAGUGUUUUGACGUUACCGACAGAAUAAGCACCGGCUAACUCUGUGCCAGCAGCCGCGGUAAUACAGAGGGUGCAAGCGUUAAUCGGAAUUACUGGGCGUAAAGCGCGCGUAGGCGGUUCGUUAAGUUGGAUGUGAAAGCCCCGGGCUCAACCUGGGAACUGCAUUCAAAACUGACGAGCUAGAGUAUGGUAGAGGGUGGUGGAAUUUCCUGUGUAGCGGUGAAAUGCGUAGAUAUAGGAAGGAACACCAGUGGCGAAGGCGACCACCUGGACUGAUACUGACACUGAGGUGCGAAAGCGUGGGGAGCAAACAGGAUUAGAUACCCUAGUAGUCCACGCCGUAAACGAUGUCAACUAGCCGUUGGGAGCCUUGAGCUCUUAGUGGCGCAGCUAACGCAUUAAGUUGACCGCCUGGGGAGUACGGCCGCAAGGUUAAAACUCAAAUGAAUUGACGGGGGCCCGCACAAGCGGUGGAGCAUGUGGUUUAAUUCGAAGCAACGCGAAGAACCUUACCAGGCCUUGACAUCCAAUGAACUUUCCAGAGAUGGAUUGGUGCCUUCGGGAACAUUGAGACAGGUGCUGCAUGGCUGUCGUCAGCUCGUGUCGUGAGAUGUUGGGUUAAGUCCCGUAACGAGCGCAACCCUUGUCCUUAGUUACCAGCACGUAAUGGUGGGCACUCUAAGGAGACUGCCGGUGACAAACCGGAGGAAGGUGGGGAUGACGUCAAGCCAUCAUGGCCCUUACGGCCUGGGCUACACACGUGCUACAAUGGUCGGUACAGAGGGUUGCCAAGCCGCGAGGUGGAGCUAAUCCCACAAAACCGAUCGUAGUCCGGAUCGCAGUCUGCAACUCGACUGCGUGAAGUCGGAAUCGCUAGUAAUCGCGAAUCAGAAUGUCGCGGUGAAUACGUUCCCGGGCCUUGUACACACCGCCCGUCACACCAUGGGAGUGGGUUGCACCAGAAGUAGCUAGUCUAACCUUCGGGAGGACGGUUACCACGGUGUGAUUCAUGACUGGGGUGAAGUCGUAACAAGGUA
rnacentral:rRNA from 1 species